rnacentral:lncRNA from 1 species
GAAAGAGUAUGAACUAUCUAAAUAAUGUCAAACGCGUUACUACAAAAUUUAUUUAAUGGCAAGUAAGACUUCGACAACCAAGGAGUAAUCAACAAUGCAUGCAUUAGUGAAAAUUAUUGAAUUGAGCAAUGAUAUGAGCAACGAAUAGUAAUUUUUGUAAUUUAUUAUUUAAUUAAAAAUUUAUUCUACUCGUAAAGAAAUUAAAUUAAAAUUUACAAAUCCCUA